rnacentral:rRNA from 1 species
AAACCAACUGGGAUUACCUUAGUAACGGCGAGUGAAGCGGUAAAAGCUCAAAUUUGAAAUCUGGUACUUUCAGUGCCCGAGUUGUAAUUUGUAGAAUUUGUCUUUGAUUAGGUCCUUGUCUAUGUUCCUUGGAACAGGACGUCAUAGAGGGUGAGAAUCCCGUUUGGCGAGGAUACCUUUUCUUUGUAAGACUUUUUCGAAGAGUCGAGUUGUUUGGGAAUGCAGCUCAAAGUGGGUGGUAAAUUCCAUCUAAAGCUAAAUAUUGGCGAGAGACCGAUAGCGAACAAGUACAGUGAUGGAAAGAUGAAAAGAACUUUGAAAAGAGAGUGAAAAAGUACGUGAAAUUGUUGAAAGGGAAGGGCAUUUGAUCAGACAUGGUGUUUUUGCAUGCACUCGCCUCUCGUGGGCUUGGGCCUCUCAAAAAUUUCACUGGGCCAACAUCAAUUCUGGCAGCAGGAUAAAUCAUUAAGAAUGUAGCUACUUCGGUAGUGUUAUAGCUUUUUGGAAUACUGUUAGCCGGGUAUUGA